UGUCAUUUGUAUGCAGGAACCGUUCUUUAAAAGACUUUGACCCGCUUCGCUCUUGUCCACCACGUAGCUUUCAGGUGGUCUCAAGAUUGAUUGUACGAGAACAAUCCUCGAUGCAUGCUGGGGUAACCCACAAGAAGGUGAGCUAAACCGAACACUCUGAAGUCUUGCGGCUGGAGGUAGGCACCCUUCUGUGGAGAGACGACCACUUUACUUUGGGCACCAUUCUGGUGACGACUUCGCUGCAGGUGAAGUAACUUCUUACAUCUGGCGCUGCACAAAGAUCCCUCCGGAGCAGUUUCUUUGCUUUGUGAGUCGAAGCAUGAUUAAUUUGUACUUGGCGUGAACCGGCAGCCCCAGGUUUCACUUGACACUCAUCUUUGCCACCCAUAUGCAGGACGCACCGCGAUACAGGCAUCAAAAACAAGCGCAGUGAAACCCCCUUGAGUUGGACCUUGCUUUCGCCACCUAUACGCAGGACGCACCGCAAUAUAGGCAUCGAAAGAAGGUCGAGAAUACACGGGCAAAUGGAGGUGUUUUGUUUUCUGAUUUUGGUGGGCAACAAUGAGGGAUUUGAGGCUUUGUGAGUUGUGAUGGUGUUGUUGGCAUAUUUGGCCGGAGUGGUUUGUUUUCGGAGCUGUUUAAGAAGGAUUACAGAGCCCACAUGGAAAUAGGCAGAGGCAAGUCUUUCUGCACUCAUGGAGAUAUUAGCAACGAUAAAGGGAGAGUAGCAAGGAAGACCAUGAAGAAACGACCAGCAGGAUACCUGAAUAUGAAGCUCUCCUGUCGUCGGGUUGUCGUCUCCAGAGCUCUUUAAAUAGGCACGUAGAAGAAUAAGAGAUCAUGCAGGUUAACCCUGAUUUUAAAUUCGAAAUGAUCUUCAGAUGAUGAUAACCACUCCCGCAUUCAAACUUGCAACCGUG